UCUGAUUUGGAAAUGUGGAGCAGCGCAUGUGAGUUCUCAUAUACUUUUUAGACAUUUUUUUUAAAAGUUAUGUAUCACAAUAUUUAGUGCCUCCAUGCCCCUUCUCCUUUAGUACUAUGUAGUUAAUACUAUUUCCUUUUAGAUUAAGGAACUAUAAAAGUGUACCUGUAUUUUUCAUCCAAAUUUUAUUUCUUUAUUUUAGAAUCCUUCUCUUUUCUUUAUUUUAGAAUACAUUUGUUAGUCAAUCACAAUCAUGCUUAAUUGUUUGUAGUGGUUAAUUAAUCAUCCAAAUUUAUUUUUAAACGAAGUUUACAUUGCUGGUGAUUAAUAUUCAGCCAAGGAUAAAUCUCCAGGUUAGGAUUUUAAAGUAAUGUUUUAUGCUAUAUGUUUUAAAUUAGAGUUAUAAUACAGCAUUUUGAUUCAAUAAUGUAGCAUUUUGCUUCAAUAUUGAGAGGAAGCGCUAAGAGAGCAAUAAGAUAAACCAUUAAAAGGAAAAUCUUAAAAAAUGGUGUUAUAGAUAAAGUUAUCCUGCUUCCUGUAUUGACUGGUUUCAUGUGCUUUGCCCCAUUGAAUAUGUGUUACACUGA
rnacentral:lncRNA from 1 species